UACAGAGGGUGCGAGCGUUAAUCGGAAUUACUGGGCGUAAAGCGUGCGUAGACGGCUAUCUAAGUCGAUUGUGAAAGCCCUGGGCUCAACCUGGGAAUUGCAGUCGAUACUGGAGAGCUAGAGUUCGGUAGAGGGUGACGGAAUUCCCGGUGUAGCGGUGAAAUGCGUAGAUAUCGGGAGGAACAUCGAUGGCGAAGGCAAUCACCUGGGCCUGAACUGACACAUGAGACACGAAAGCGUGGGUAGCAACAGG
rnacentral:rRNA from 1 species